UUAAAUUGAAGAGUUUGAUCAUGGCUCAGAUUGAACGCUGGCGGCAGGCCUAACACAUGCAAGUCGAACGGUAACAGGAAGCAGCUUGCUGCUUUGCUGACGAGUGGCGGACGGGUGAGUAAUGUCUGGGAAACUGCCUGAUGGAGGGGGAUAACUACUGGAAACGGUGGCUAAUACCGCAUAACGUCGCAAGACCAAAGAGGGGGACCUUCGGGCCUCUUGCCAUCAGAUGUGCCCAGAUGGGAUUAGCUUGUUGG
rnacentral:rRNA from 1 species